rnacentral:lncRNA from 1 species
AGAAAGUAAUAAAUAAUAUUAUAUAACACUCGCCAAUACACUAAACAUAUAUAGAAUAUUAAAUACGUAUUUAGAAUAUUCGGAUUGGUACGAAUGAACUGUCAUGCGCAUGUACGCAUCUCGCUAUUUUGCACGCCAGUGCACGCGUCUGCACACGCAACGCCGCAACAUGAUGAUGUGCGCGAGUUAUAUUAAAAGCAAGAGAGGAAGAAACACUAUUUGAGCGUAAAGUAGAAGAGUAGACGAGUAAGGAAAGAAAGAUGUAAAAGAGAGAUCAACCUCACAGCUUGGAAUUUACAGUGUGCCGAACAGAAUAUGUGGACCUUGAAGGUAUCAAAUAACAUAAUUUUACUAAAAAAGUUAUAGGAUGAAGUGAACAAUUUAUUUUUUGUGUGAGAAAGUAUCUAUUACAAUCUAACUUGUUCCGAGAAAACCUUUGCAAAAGAUUUAAUAAAGAACAAGCAAUUUGAUGAGAUUAUCAUAUCAUUAUUAUCAUAUUUAUUAUUCGAAUUUUAAAGAGAAACAGUAAGAAAUUUUAUUAAUACAUUAUUAAAAAAUUGUUGGCUGUUACACCAAAAUUCUCUUUCUUGUAAGCUGAUGUAUGCUAUUGAUAAAAAAUUCACCGAAGUUCAUCCCUGUUUUAGCUCAGCGAACCAUUAUAUGUAUAGAAAAUUGACAGAGCAAUUCAUAUCAAAAGGAUUAUCUAAAGGCGUACUUCCUAGUUCUUCAAGUAUGUUAUUUUAUGGCAUUAUCUUAUGGCAGGCUAGGUAAGAGAAUAAUGACAAAUGUUAUAAUUUUAUUUUAAUAUUGUAUUGCAACUGUGUGGCUCUUAAAGGUAUCGUACAACUAUCUUUUUUAGAUUACUGAAAUAAAUAAAAAGCGUGAAAUCUGAUCUGAAACAAUUACAACAAAGUAUACAGACUAAUAUCACUCAACUAAUCUGCCGAUGAUGUGGUCGCAGGCUGUAAUAUAGGAAAUAUGUUUAUGAAUGUCAAGGAUCAUCUAAUAAUUUAAGAAUGACCAGUGGAUGUGCGUAUGAUUAUCUGGAAAUGUGCACAAAAGUGGAACUUGAGAUGGAACAUUUGAUUAUUUCCAUCUCUAAUUUGCUGGGUUUUAUUCUAAAAACAUAUAAUGGCUAUAAUUUAU